ACGACCUUACUUGAACAGGAUCUGUUCUAUAGGCUCGUACCAUUGCAUCCUUGAUUUCUAAGGAGACAGGAAACCAAGUCUGGUGGAUGAAUCAUUGCCAUUAGACUAGAGCGUGAUUAAACAGCACCAGUGCCCGUUGGGGCUCAUGGGCGCAGUAGAUGAUCGUUCUCAGCUAACAAUCAUGGUGCCUGAGAUGGUUUAAUGGCUGUCUGACAGACU